ACCGCGGUAGCUCAGUUGGUAGUGAGAUCGGCAGUACAGAUGCCGUAGGUGACAGGUUCUAAUCCUGCCUCCCCGGUG